GUUGUGGCUCAGUGGCAGAGUACUCGCUUAGCGUGUGUGAGGCCCUGGGUUCAAUCCUCAGCACCACA
rnacentral:tRNA from 1 species